UUGUUUGUUUGAGCUUUCUCUGGCUCUCAGUAUUAGUUUCUACUUUAGGAGGUGGUUCAGAUCGGUGUGGUUCCUUCUUUGUUGUGCAGAGGUUGUUGUAAGCCCUCCGUUUGUGUUUCUUCCUCUGGUGAAAAGCUUAUUGCGAUCGGAUUUCCAUGUUGCCGCCCAGAACUGUUGGGUUCGCAAAGGUGGUGCUUUUACUGGAGAGAUUAGUGCUGAGAUGCUUGUGAAUUUGAGCAUUCCUUGGGUCAUCCUUGGUCAUUCUGAAAGAAGAUCUCUUUUGAGCGAGUGAAGUGAGUUUUUGGAGACAAAGUUCUCCACAAUAUAAUCGGUGGAAUUAGAUCCGGUAGAUUUGGCGGCCGGAUCUGUCUCCGGCGACGCCCAUAAAAAAGGAUCUCUCUCUCUUUGGCCGGAUCUGUUGCCACCAAGACCCACCGACUGUCACCCAUCGGAGCAACCCCCUCCCUCUCUCUCGCCGUGUUCCUGUUUACCAUUUAAUAUCCAAGGAUCAUCAACUCUGUUCUGUUGCUAGGAGCGCUAUUAUGUAGGGAGGAAUUUGUUGGGGUAUUGUACGACCAAGGCUCGAAAAAAUGUCGGUAAAUAGUGAUGUGUCAAGACCCCCUCCGUUAUGUUACUGUGGAGUGCAUGCACGUCUAAGGUACUCAUGGACUAGUGACAACCCCGGACGAAAGUGGUAUGGCUGUAUAAAGUAUAAGGAAGAGGAACAUACUUGUUGAGGUUGAGGUUGAGGUUGUAAUUGAGACAGACUUUUCUUCUCCAACAAACUGUUUACAAGGUCAAACCAGGGAAACAGAAAAGAUUAUUCAGCCCCACUUGACAGCCAAACCAAACCAAUGUUGAUGAAUCAAUGAGCACAUGCUGAAAAUUCUAUUCCGGAGGCAAAUUUCAGAACUCGGAGGACUGGGCAGCGUUGGAAUCACCGGACACCGGACGACGGAAGCGCCGGAAGACGGACGACGGAAGCACAGGACGACGGAGCCGGCGACGUCACUGACCGGAGGCAAAUUUCAGAACUCGGAGGACUGGGCAGCGUUGGAAGCACCGGACGACGGACGGCGGACGACGGGUGCGCCGGACGACGGGUUCUCCAGAGGACUGGGCAGCGUUGGACGGCGGACGACGGGUGCGCCGGACGACGGGUUCUCCAGAGGACUGGGCAGCGUUGGACGACGGGUUC